ensembl:lncRNA
CGAGUCAAACAAUCCCAUGAUGCAACUGGACUGGUGCGGACGAGCUCCAGAAAAAAAACAAUAACAACAAAAAAAAACGCGGAAGAUAGCGUCGGCUCUUUUUAAGUAUUAAACCUUGGUUAAACUGGACUUGUUUAAUAAUACCAGAAUAAAUUGUUAACUUGUUUAAGAUUGUUGUGUUUAUGGUGACGUCGAAGGUCACAUGACAAUGCUAACAUGGCCGAUGUAGUAUGUAUUUGGCCGGGAUUGUGUUCAUAACACACACAGAUUAGUACGAAUGUCAUAGUAUGCGAUUUUGGACGCACCACGAUGACGUCGAUUUGUAAGCAGUGUCUGUGUUUUAAGUCAUCAAUUCUUGAGGAAUUGAUAGUGUUACAUGCAGUAAACUGAAAAACUACACGUCCUGGUAGCACCAGCUAAAAUAGCUAAUUUCUCAAGUUCAUCUAUGGCAGUAACCAUGCUCCACCCCCUUAAAAUGCGAAGGAAGGAUGCAAGGAUGAGAUCUGG